ACAGAAGUUCUGUGGCUUUCAAAUACACAAGCAACAACCACUACACAAAAACCUAUGGCGCUUCUUGGGUUGGGAUUUUGAGAUUGAACCCUAAGCAAAGCGAACAGAAGACAACUUCCUCUCAACAAUCAUUUCCCUUUGUCAUCCUUUUCCUGGCUUCUGUUAAGGAAGGGGAAAUUGAAGUCAUCCAGCUGACAAUCACAGUUCCACAGAUACCUCAAUGGGCUGCUGCCUCUACCUGCAUAGUCUUCUUCUGGUACUGGAACCACUCUAUAUAAAUUGUUGAUGAAUAAGUAUCCUGCUUGUAGAAACUCAGGCACCAACUGGAAGACCCAGAGGCUGUGGGUCAACCCACCUGCAUCUGUGACAUCACAGCUCUAUAAACAAUGUUUGUAUGUUUUUAUUCAGAAAACAAAGAUAUUUCUAAUUUAAAAAAAUUUAAAAAAACUUAAAGAAUGCUGUCUUUUAAAAAAUAUUUAUUUAUUGGCAUGAGUUAAGAAUCACCCAAAUUUCUUUUACAUGCCUAUAAAAAUGAUAUAAUUUGUUUUCUUUAAGUUACUGAUUUACUGUGUAAUAUUUAUGAAUUGUUAAAUAUUGCAUUGGGGUUGGAUUCCCAAUUUGAUUUAUUACUUUCCUAUUAUAUUGCUUAAUUUAGAGUAGUUUAUUUAGAUUGUCAUAUCUACAGCUAACUACAAUCAAUUCACUUCUAAUUUUGUAAAAACUUCAGCAGCUCUAAGGAUUGAGUUAGCCAUUGCCUUGUAAUUAUAACGGGUAACUAUCUUUUUGAUCCUUGACUUGGAAUGAAUAGUUGACACUGAAAUUGCUAAAGAAUAAUGUGGAAAAUCCCUCUCACACUGUUCACCUUCAUUGCUGUGGAUAAUCUUUAACAACUUUAUUUUCUCAGUUGCUCUGUUCAGGUUUUUUACCUCUUACUAUGUUAAUUUUGAUGUUAGUUUUGCUGUUAUUCUAGUACUUGUUGGUCUGUUUUACAGAAUAUGAUCCCUUUCAUUGCUAUUUCUAAAUUUAUCACAAAACUGUGAGAGAAAUCCAUUAUAAUUUAAUCAUUUUAUCCAUUACGAUGUAUGAUAUACCCUUUGUAAUGGUGAUGUCUUAUUUUGAUUAAACUUAAUUAUAUAUUUUUUUAUUUUGACUUCAUAAAAACCAUAUUUUGGAUUAUUCAUUACUUUUACUAAUUUUUAGCCCUGUAUUUUUUUCUGAAUUUUGAAAUUUAUUUUGAAAUAAAUAAUUUCCUUUUCUCA
rnacentral:lncRNA from 1 species